AUGCUCAAAAUUCUCCAACCCAGGCUUCAGCAAUACAUGAACCAUGAACUUCCUGAUGUUCAAACUGGAUUUAGAAAAGGCAGAGGAACCAGAGAUCAAAUUGCCAACAUCUGCUGGAUCAUGGAGAAAGCAAGAGAGUUUCAGAAAAACAUCUAUUUCUGCUUUAUUGACUAUGCCAAAGCCUUUGACUGUGUGGAUCACAAUCAACUGUGGAAAAUUCUGAAAGAGAUGGGAAUACCAGAGCACCUGACUUGCCUCUUGAGAAAUCUGUAUGCAGGUCAGGAAGCAACAGUUAGAACUGGACAUGGAACAACAGACUGGUUCCAAACAGGGAAAGGAGUCCAUCAAGGCUGUAUAUUGUCACCCUGCUUAUUUAACUUAUAUGCAGAGUACAUCAUGAGGAAUGGUGGACUGGAAGAAACACAAGCUGGAAUCAAGAUUGCUGGGAGAAAUAUGAAUAACCUCAGAUAUGCAGAUGACACCACCCUCAUGGCAGAAAGUGAAGACGAACUAAAGAGACUCUUGAUGAAAGUGAAAGAGGAGAGUGAAAAAGUUGGCUUAAAGCUCAACAUUCAGAAAACGAAGAUCAUGGCAUCUGGUCCCAUCACUUCAUGGGAAAUAGAUGGGGAAACAGUGGAAACAGUGUCAGACUUUAUUUUUGGGGGCUCCAAAAUCACUUCAGAUGGUGACUGCAGCCAUAAAACUAAAAGACCCUUACUUCUUGGAAGAAAACUUAUGACCAACCUAGAUAGCAUAUUCAAAAGCAGAAACAUUACCUUGCCGACUAAGGUCCAUCUAAUCAAGGCUAUGGUUUUUCCUGUGGUCAUGUAUGGAUGUGAGAGUUGGACUGCGAAGAAGGCUGAACGCCGAAGAACUGAUGCUUUUGAUCUGUGGUGUUGGAGAAGACUCUUGAGAGUCCCUUGGACUGCAAGGAGAUCCAACCAGUCCAUUCUGAGGGAGAUCAACCCUUGGAUUUCUUUGGAAGGAAUGAUGCUAAAGCUGAAACUCCAGUACUUUGGCCACCUCACGCAAAGAGUUGACUCAUUGGAAAAGACUCUGAUGCUGGGAGGGAUUGGGGGCAGGAGGAGAAGGGGACAACAGAGGAUGAGAUGGUUGGAUGGCAUCACUGACUUGAUGGACAUGAGUCUGAGUGAACUCCAGGAGUUGGUGAUGGACAGGGAGGCCUGGCGUGCUGCGAUUCAUGGGGUCACAAAGAGUCAGACACGACUGAGUGACUGA
rnacentral:lncRNA from 1 species